UACGUAGGGUGCAAGCGUUGUCCGGAAUUAUUGGGCGUAAAGAGCUCGUAGGCGGUCUGUCGCGUCGGCUGUGAAAACCUGGGGCUCAACUCCGGGCCUGCAGCCGAUACGGGCAGACUAGAAUUCGGUAGGGGAGACUGGAAUUCCUGGUGUAGCGGUGAAAUGCGCAGAUAUCAGGAGGAACACCGGUGGCGAAGGCGGGUCUCUGGGCCAUAACUGACGCUGAGAAGCGAAAGCAUGGGGAGCGAACAGG
rnacentral:rRNA from 1 species